UCACCCCUCAAGCCCCGUGCUUGGUGUUGGACGGGUUGGUCGGGGCUUGCCCUCGACCCCUCCUAAAGACAAUGACGGCGGCCUGUGGUUCCCCCGGUACACUGAGCUUCUUAAAACCGAGCACGUACCGGAUGAGGGCACCCGGGCCACGGUCCUCUCCUUUCACCAGGAAUCUUUUUGUCAA
rnacentral:misc_RNA from 1 species